CCUGCUUGCAGCAUGUGGCCUCUGAGUAGAGAAGUUAGUACGUGAGCAUUGCGUCUCUCGGAUUGCUAGAUUUGAAUUUUGAAUGUGACAAUGAGACUGUUGUUUCAAAGCAAUUCCCUAAGUGGCUGUUUGCUCAAGACUUUUGUAGUGUGAACAGAGAUUUGGGGGAGGGGGAGAAGCCAUCUGCUCCAGAAUAGUCUUCGAAUGACACGAUCAAAUGACUGCAGAGCAAACUGGAGGGAGUCCAACAGAAAGUUCCUGUCUGCUGCAUCCAGCCCCAACCAGCACUCGAGCCAUUGUGUUUACAUGGAAGCUCACACACAGGUUUCAAAGGCAAGGCCGUGAUAACCAAGGAUGCAUUCAUGCAGCCUCACUUGCUGGGAAAUGAGUUCACACAUUUGGAGUUUCCAAGGAGAGUACAGAGAAAGGAGCUUGGAAAGAAGAUGCUCUACAGGGACUUUAAUAUGACAGGCUGGGCAUACAAAACCAUUGAGGAUGAGGACUUGAAGUUCCCCCUUAUAUAUGGAGAAGGCAAGAAGGCCCGGGUAAUGGCAACUAUUGGAGUGACCAGGGGACUUGGGGACCAUGACCUGAAGGUGCAUGACUCCAACAUCUACAUUAAACCAUUCCUGUCUUCAGCUCCAGAGGUAAGAAUCUACGAUCUUUCAAAAUAUGAUCAUGGAUCAGAUGAUGUGCUGAUCUUGGCCACUGAUGGACUCUGGGACGUUUUAUCAAAUGAAGAAGUAGCAGAAGCAAUCACUCAGUUUCUUCCUAACUGUGAUCCAGAUGAUCCUCACAGGUACACACUGGCAGCUCAGGACCUGGUGAUGCGUGCCCGGGGUGUGCUGAAGGACAGAGGAUG
rnacentral:sRNA from 1 species